AACGGCCGUACCAUGCUGAAUAUACCUUUUCUCGUUAGAUCACCGAAGUCAAGCAUCAUUGGGCGCGGUCAGUACUUGGGUGGGUGACCACCUGGGAACACCGCGUGCCGUU